rnacentral:rRNA from 1 species
GAGUUUGAUCCUGGCUCAGGAUGAACGCUGGCGGCGUGCCUAAUACAUGCAAGUCGAACGCACUGAUUUUAUCAGUGAGUGGCGAACGGGUGAGUAAUACAUAAGUAACCUGCCCUCAUGAGGGGGAUAACUAUUAGAAAUGAUAGCUAAGACCGCAUAGGUGAAGGGGUCGCAUGACCGCUUCAUUAAAUAUCCGUAAGGAUAGCAGGAGGAUGGACUUAUGGCGCAUUAGCUGGUUGGUGAGGUAACGGCUCACCAAGGCGACGAUGCGUAGCCGACCUGAGAGGGUGGACGGCCACACUGGGACUGAGACACGGCCCAGACUCCUACGGGAGGCAGCAGUAGGGAAUUUUCGGCAAUGGGGGAAACCCUGACCGAGCAACGCCGCGUGAGGGAAGAAGUAUUUCGGUAUGUAAACCUCUGUUAUAAAGGAAGAACGGUAUGAAUAGGAAAUGAUUCAUAAGUGACGGUACUUUAUGAG